rnacentral:rRNA from 1 species
UAACUGCGAGUGAACAGGGAUUAGCCCAGCACCGAAGCCUGUGGUUGUUUGAUCACUAGGCAAUGUGGUGUUUAGGUUAUCUCGCAGAAGUACUGCUCCACCCUAAGUCCAAUAAUGAGUACGGUAGUACGGACACGGCCCACAGAGGGUGAAAGGCCCGCGGGGGUGGAGAGCAUGCAGGCCAGUGCUUCUCUGAGCAAACCUUUGAGUCGGGUUGUUUGAGAUUGCAGCCCAAAGCGGGUGGUAAACUCCAUCCAAGGCUAAAUACUUGCACGAGUCCGAUAGCGAACAAGUACCGUGAGGGAACGUUGAAAAGUACUCUGAAGAGAGAGUAAACAGUGCGUGAAGCCGCUCAGAGGUAAACGGGUGGAGUUGAACUGUGAACUUCGAGAAUUCAGCUGGUGAGUGUGGCCUGAGCUUGGCAUAAAUGUUUGGCUCUGCGGGUCUGCUUAGCUGCAGGUCCUCACCUUUUGGUGGGGAUGCGUGAGACACUUGUCAAGUGGUACGCGCCUGUGGGGUAACUGGGACAUACUUGCCGGUGCACUUUCUCGGAGUGGUCACCACGACCGGCGCUGCUACUUGUCCGGUAUGGUCAAACCGGUUUUUCAUGGUCCUUGUGGCUAUGUGAAAGCGGGAUGGCAGGUAACUCGUUGGCCUGUGUGUUGAUUUCGGUUGACAUGCGCUUGGUUUUCGAGUGUAAUUUGCUGACUAUAUCGGUACUAUGUGGUGCGUCGGAGACGGCGGCUUGUGGUGUGUGCGUGCGUACCUAUUUGCUGACAGGACCGGGUUUGGUUAGUAUGUUGCCUGUUCUGCAGGCCUACUGAUGGCUUGGUUCUGCUUGGCGAGUAGGGGCGUGUGUGACACUAAUCAGGGCCAAUAGUCUGUGGUGUUGCGGUAGACUAUCCACCUGACCCGUCUUGAAACACGGACCAAGGAGAGUAACAUGUGCGCGAGUCAUUGGGCGUUACGAAACCCAAAGGCGAAGUGAAAGUGAAGACUUGGCUUGUCCAGGUUGUGGUGAGAUCCUGUCGCUUCUCAUGCGCGGUACUACCAAGCACUCGAACGAUGGGCGCAUCACCGGCCCGUCCCAUUGUGUGGUCACUGUCUUCGGAUUGGUGCGUCACCGGGGCGGAGCAUGAGCGCACAUGUU